rnacentral:lncRNA from 1 species
ACACAACCGAGAUACAGCCAAGGCUCUUGGGAAUGACAGCGGUGGAAAAGAAUAGGGGCCUGUGGAAUCGAGUGGUGGGAGAGGAAAACAGAGCAGUGAUGACUCAUCCUGCACUACACAGAUUUUUUGUCCAAUCAGAUGCUCUCUCUUGAAGAAUGGCCCGCCCCCUUAGCCACAUACAACCGACUAGAAAUGGAGCAGUGAUGACUCAUCCAGCACUACAGAUUUUUGUCCAAUCAGAUGCUCUCUUGAAGGAGAACAUCCCGCCCCCUUAUGCUGCACACAACCGACUACUGGCCCAUCCCAAGAGUGUUGUGCAUUGUGCCGGACUGAAGAAAUCUCAUCACUGUAUUGAUACAUCACAAAAGCCAAGCACAAUCAUCAUCUGUGAAAGAUCCUCUGAGACCAAUUUAAACCCCAAAGACUUUGACCAUAACAUUUAAAUCAGCAAAACGGUCUAAUUCAGUGUUGGCUAUGAUAGUCCUGAAUACAAUUAUUGUACCUUCAACAUGGCAGAAUUCAUUAAAAUAGCCAUAUAACUGAUAUCAGUGUUAGUCCAAUAUUUCCAUAAUUUCCUCACUGUAAAAUAAUUGGACCUAGAUCUCGUUUUAAGGCCAUGGGAGAACUUUGAUGGCACUCAUUUGCAAUGAGGGUGUCUUUUUCAAACAAGACAUUAAUUAAGUUAGAGUAUCC